rnacentral:rRNA from 1 species
UUUUUAAAUUGCUGUGGUAUUUUAACUAUACGAAGGUAUUGAAAUAAGGCUUUAAAUGGGUGCUAAGAGAAUGGUUUAACGAAGAUAGACUUUUUUCUUUUUUUUAUUAAAAGUUGAUUUAAAAAUGAAGAGGUUUUUAUAGAAAUUUGGGACAAGAAGACCCUAUGAAUUUUGAUAUAAGAUUUUUUAAUUAAAUUUUCUAAUAAAUUUUAAAUUUUUCUUUUAUUUGAUUGGGGUGAUUUUUAAAGAUUCAGAAUCUUUAAAGUUUUAUUAAAUGGAUCCAUUAAUAGUGAUUUGUUGAAUAAAAUACUCUAGGGAUAACAGCGUUAUUAUUUUGGAUAGUUCAUAUAGAUAAAAUAGUUUGCGACCUCGAUGUGGAUUAAGAUACUCUUGGAGUGUAGAAGCUUCAAAAAUAGGAGAAGUUUGCUCAACUUUUAAAUUCUUACUUGAUCUGA